UACGAAGGGGGCUAGCGUUGUUCGGAAUUACUGGGCGUAAAGCGUGCGCAGGCGACUUCUCAAGUCAGGGGUGAAAGCCCAGAGCUCAACUCUGGAAUUGCCUUUGAGACUGAGUGGCUUGAGUACGAGAGAGGUGAGUGGAAUUCCCAGUGUAGAGGUGAAAUUCGUAGAUAUUGGGAAGAACACCGGUGGCGAAGGCGGCUCACUGGCUCGUAACUGACGCUCAUGCACGACAGCGUGGGGAUCAAACAGG
rnacentral:rRNA from 1 species